rnacentral:rRNA from 1 species
CCUACGGGUCGCAGCAGUGGGGAAUAUUGCACAAUGGGCGCAAGCCUGAUGCAGCCAUGCCGCGUGUAUGAAGAAGGCCUUCGGGUUGUAAAGUACUCUUAGCGGGGAGGAAGGUGUUGUGGUUAAUAACCACAGCAAUUGACGUUACCCGCAGAAGAAGCACCGGCUAACUCCGUGCCAGCAGCCGCGGUAAUACGGAGGGUGCAAGCGUUAAUCGGAAUUACUGGGCGUAAAGCGCACGCAGGCGGUCUGUCAAGUCGGAUGUGAAAUCCCCGGGCUCAACCUGGGAACUGCAUUCGAAACUGGCAGGCUAGAGUCUUGUAGAGGGGGGUAGAAUUCCAGGUGUAGCGGUGAAAUGCGUAGAGAUCUGGAGGAAUACCGGUGGCGAAGGCGGCCCCCUGGACAAAGACUGACGCUCAGGUGCGAAAGCGUGGGGAGCAAACAGGAUUAGAUACCCCCGUAGUC